rnacentral:lncRNA from 1 species
UGUAAACUUCUCAAUAUUUGCACCAUAAAACACAUAUGCUUAGAGUAUUUACACACUUCUCCAGCUUUUCUCAAUGCUUAAUAUGUGGAUAUAUUUAAUAUCUAACUGUAGUUUGAAAGGAGCAAACAUUCCUUCAAAACCAAUGAAGGCUGGAGGAUUGACCUAGGCAAUUGAUUUUUGAAGAGUAAUGAUACUAGUGAGCAUUAGCCCUUUAUAGAUAUCUGCUAAUUCACCCUCUCAGAAGCUAUUAACAAAGAAAGAAAUAAACUCUGUGACUCUUACAUGGGGAUCCAAUUGUAUCUUUAAUCUCACAUAGCUAUCUCUCAAGUAUAUAUCACCAUUGUGUGCAAGUAUCUUAAAGUUGUGUUGCACAUAUCACCUGGGGAGAGGAUGGCAGUCGGAGGUGGGAGUGGGAGUGGGAGUGGGCAAACAACUUCACUGAGGAAUCCAGAGAACUAUGCCUUGCAUAUUAUAGACAGCCAGCAUAUCUGGUCCCUGUUUCCAAAAAAUCUUACAUGUAUAGUUUGUAUAUUUAAAAAUCUAAGCUUUUGGAAGAGAAAAAAACUCAAGACAAUAUAUAGGAUAACUAAAAUAAUAUGUGACCCAAACAGUAAUAACUACCAAUUCAGAGGAAAGAGAAACAUCACUGUGGUCCCAGAACAUAAGAGAAACUUUGAGCUGGACUUUUAGGAAUGAGCAAGAUUUGGAUAAACUAAGUAGUUAAGAGGUCAGCAAAGUUGUUCUGUAAAUGACCAGAUAGUAAAUAUUUCAGGCUUUGUGGGCCACAUAUGAUCUCUUUUGAAACUACUCAACUUUACCAUUGUAAUAAAAAGUAGCCAUAGACAUAUUAGGUAAGUGAAUGGGCUGGGUUAUGUUCUAAUAAAACUUUAUUUACAAAAAAGAAAAAAGGCUGCAGGCUGGAUUUGUCAUGCAGGCUAUAGUUUGCUGACCCCUGGUACAGACCAUGGAGAAGUACAUCUUAGGAAAGAGGUACUCUCAAAGGAAUAGGGAGGGAUAUAUAUCUGGGACAAUGGAGAAUGGGAAAGACAUGAUGAAUCAGUGAAACAUAAUGUAUGAAAGAAACUAUACAUGACUAAAUAUUCAUGGAAUAUAUUUUCUUCUUGUGGAAGGUAGACACAGCAUCAUCUCUACCCAUAAAAGAUGGCAUUCUGCAAGACUGAGAAGAUGCCCACCUCCAUUCCCAGAGUCCAGGCCUUCAUUAACUCACACGAGAACUACAGAAGCAUCACCCCUAGUUCUCCUAUUAGUCACUCCUCCUCAACUGCCUCUAAUCCAUCCAUCCAUCUAUCCGGCAUGGGUCAUGUAAAGUUACAGCUGAGAAGGGCUGGAUACAGUGAACUGGAGGAAUAGCGGGGAGAAUUGCCAAUACUCAGGAGUCAGGCUUCACAUUGAUCAUGCAGCUAAUAAGAAAGAAGGCAAAGGUACCAAGCCCCUUGCCAUAUGAGAGCUUCCAGCAACUUUGGCAGAAGAUAGAAAGGAAAAUACUACUACUAUUUAGAAACUGCACUGAUAUUUCUUGACUUCUCCUGAAUCGACUACUGUUUUCCCCUCAGUGAUUCAAAUACAAGAGAAAUUUUUCUCAUCAUUCUGUGUCUCAAAGCUCUGAAAUAAGGCAUCUUUUCCUGUCUUUUAUUUGAUUUAAGGCCAGCUUCAAGCAUUUAUUGAACUGAUUAGCACAUUAGUUUUAUUUUUUUUUUCCAUGUCCUUUUAUGUUCUGGUGAGUUUAUUAGGUGAGGCCAGUUUCCUUCAGAGAAUUUAAUCCAAAGGCCUUUACUAGAAGGCUGGCAUGUUUCCUUUUCUCAUAAAGAUAAGGAAACAUCAACAGGCAUAACAUAGCAGAAUGUCUAGCCUAAGUUAUGGAAAAGAUUCCAUGCCAUACUCCCUGGUGAGGUUGACUUCACACUUACUGGCUUACUUCUCCUGAUACUUGGUUUACAAGUGAGACAAGUAAUCCCCUCUGAGGGUAACUGGUCAUGUUUCUUUGUUUACUCUGGGGGUCAUUUUGCCACUAACAGCUAUGCUGGCUCUAUGCAGAACUUCAAACCUCAGGCUGUCUACCUGAGCUAUAGGGAAGAAGAAGCUACAGAGUUCCCUUUAAUAAGACAUCAGCAAUACAUUUAGCUGUCAGAGAAGAUGGGUCAUAUUUAGGAAUACAUGGAGAAUAAGUUUUAAAAGAGAGAGAAUCCAAAUGUAUUGUACUCUUAAUUAGAGGUCCCUAAACUGCAAAUUCAUUUGCUAAUAUAAUUUCUCAUGCUUUUUAUUUCAAUAAUGUAUGUAUUCGGUAAUGUCUGAUAAAUACUUGCACUUCAUUUUUUGUUGCCCACUCAUUUAUUAACUUCUGCAGCAGUGUCUUGGAUGGAGGGAGAACUGGAGAAGCACUGAAUAGAAAAGAGGGUGAUAUUACAAAAUCCCUGAAGUUGGAGAAACACAAGCAGCCUG